rnacentral:lncRNA from 1 species
GUUUCUUUUACAGACCUCUCUCAAGUUUCAGUGAGUUCACCUGGUAACCCCCCUCACCGAGGAGCAGUCUUCCCACUCCCUAAGUGAUGCUGAGAAACUCCUAGAAGUGUAUUCUUCCUCCAAUCUGCCAUUUCUCUCCCUAAACAUUUUAAAAACAUGAAGUUUUUCAAUCCAUGAACAUGGAUUUGUCUUUUAAAGUUUCUUUCAACAGUAUUUUGUAGCUUUCAUUCUCUUUGCUAUUAUCAUGAAUGGACUUGUGUUCAUGAUUAAUAUACAGAAUAUACGAAGAACACAAAAAACUUAACACCAAAAAUAGCCCCAAUUAAUAAAUGGGCAAAAGAACUAAAGAAAUUCUUCUCAAAAGAAGAAAUACGUGUAUGAAUUGUCAUGUGUAGCUAAUAAAAAAACAUUAAAAAAGAAGAAAUACAAAUGGUCAAUAAAUAUAUGAAGAAAUGUUCAAUAUCUCUAUCAAUCAGGGUGUUUUAAUCAGGUUUUUUGUUUAUGUGUUUGUUUUUGUUUUGUUUUGUUUUGCUGCUGUGACCAAAAGAACUGACAAGAACAAUUUAGGGGAGGAAAAGUUUUAGAGGUCUCACAGUUUUAGAGGUCUCAGUUCAUAGAUGGCCACUCCAUUGCUCCUUGUCCAAGAUGUGGCAGAACAUCAUGCAAGAAAAAUGUGGUGGAAGAAAGUGGCUCAGGACAUGGCUACCAGAAAGCAGAGAGUGACUUCUGCUCAACAAGGACAAAAUAUAUACCCCAAAGGCAACCCCCAGAGACCACCUCCUCCAGCAAGACCAAACCUGCCUACAGUUACCACCCAGUUAAUCUGUUCCAGUGGAUUAAUCCAAGGAUUAAGUUAAAAUUUU